rnacentral:rRNA from 1 species
UACGUAGGGGGCGAGCGUUGUCCGGAUUUAUUGGGCGUAAAGAGCUCGUAGGCGGUUCAGUAAGUCGGGUGUGAAAUCUCCGUGCUCAACACGGAGCGGCCACCUGAUACUGCUCGACUCGAAGGCAGGAGAGGGAAGCGGAAUUCCCGGUGUAGUGGUGAAAUGCGUAGAUAUCGGGAGGAACACCAGUGGCGAAGGCGGCUUUCUGGCCUGUUCUUGACGCUGAGGCGCGAAAGCUAGGGUAGCAAACGGG